GCCUUCGUGGAGUAGUGGUCAGCACGCUCGACUCGUAUUCGAGAGGUUCGUGGUUCGAGUCCCGGCGAAAGCG
rnacentral:tRNA from 1 species